CUCUUUUCAACCAACAGCAGUCACUCUCCAAAUAACUUCUGCUUAGCUUUCCGAGCUUCCCUUGGGUCCUCUUAAUCAGCGGUCUCCACCCUUUUUUGCGCCACGGACCGGUUUAUGCCCGACAAUAUUUUCACGGACCGGCCUUUAAGGUGUCGCGGAUAAAUGAGGGAGGGGCUAAUAAUCGGCUCAGUCAUUUUUAAUGAUCGUUGAAAGCCCAGAUCGUAAUCGUGAUUAAAAUUCGAUUAAUUGAGCAGCCCUAUCCUAGAUUUCUUCUCUGAAACAGUAAUAUUUAAGUGACUGCUGCUUGUACCACAGGUUAAUACACGCUACUGAUCCCUGAUAGGAGAAUCAUCAAUUUUGGCAACAAAGAAGCCUGGUGGAUGUUUGUUUACAGUCUGAUGAUGGGACAUCAUGCUCUGCAUCGUCAAAGUUUGCCUCCUCAUUAUUAUUCAUACCCAGUAAUGUGAAUCUUUUCGCAGGAUCAGAAAACAAAACCAGGAGGCGCGUAAAUGUUUCUUCUCCAUGAUGUUUCUUCAAAUGUUUCUUCUGGAUGAUGAUAAGACUAUGACACAGGAUGCCACCUUUGGUCUUAUGGUGAAGCAAAGCUCAGGAAGAAGUGGGAUUAAAUGGUACCCACAUGUGUGCUGCUGAGAAGGAUGUACAGGGGCACCUGCAGCCAAAUCCAAGCCUCAGAGCGGCAGUUUGUGCUCACAGAUGGUGACGGUGUGGAGAGAUGGUGGUGUUUCCUCAGAAGAACCAGCAGAGUCACUCGCUGACUGAUGCUCAUCUGCGCUGCACAGAGGAAAUCAACUGACCGAGGAGUGUUUCUGAGUGAGGGGGAGAGGAGUCAUCAUCCAGGUAAAGUGACGUAGAUCAGUGGAUACACUUGUCUCCCCUUUAAAGGAGACGAUCCAAGUCAUCCUUAAAUAUGGGCAGCAUAUCAGUCUUGGACUGUCUAACCUGCCGGAGCAGCACUGAAUGACCACCACACAUGAGCAUGUUCCUGCAACAUUCAGCAUCUGAUCCUUCAUCUGUGUGCUUCUGCUUUUGUGUCACAUGUCAAACAGCUGGAGAGGAAACUACACCAGCAUACUGGGAUGUUUCAGCAACACGUGCCAGAUGCUGUUCCUUCAUGGUGACAUCACCAGAGACAGCCCCACCCACCUGAGGACCUCGCCAUUGAUCAUGAUGAUUAUAAUGAUGACAGCGAGCGGAACUAAGACUGUAAAAAUCCACGACCAGAAUUUUUCUUUCUAAUUAUUAAUGAAUACUAAGAGCCUCUUUCUGUGUUUUGUAUGUUUUGGGGUUGUUUUUUUUUUACCUCAUUUGUUACUAACAAAGUUCACCAAACUCACACAGUUUACAUUCUGUAUGUUUCCAUCUUUACCAGCCACACUCUAAUUGCAUUUAAGAAAAUAAUCCUUAGAAAUUGUCGUUUUUCUCUUUUGUAAUUGAUGAUAAUUCAGUGAAUAUACUGCACUGCUUCCUUCUAUUGCGUCACACAUUGCUUUAAGUUUUUCAGUGUCCAGUUAUUUUUUACUGCUGUUUGAAUUCUCUGUAUGUUUGACCCUGUAGACUGUUUGAUGGACUGCUUGUCUUCCUGUUUGUAACCGCCGCCUGUUUUUUAAUAAAGAUUUGGAUUUCUGACUUCAACACAGCCUCUGCGUGUCCUCCCUUUGUGUCCUCUUCCUCUGUGAACGUGUUGCAUGUGUCACAGAUUCAUUUUAUCAACAGCUUUCCCACAGUGAGU
ensembl:lncRNA